rnacentral:lncRNA from 1 species
UCGGAUCCUAGACUUCAAGAGAAGAAAAGCGGGUAAAGCUUGAAGAGGACCCCUGUUCCUGGCUUCAUCUUUUCAUAAUUACGCCCCCACCCGAUUUCUCAUCUUCUCCACACACAUAGAGAGUCACACGUUAGAGAUUCACCUUCAUAGACUUUAGGUCUAGCAUGUCAUUCACUCACUAUCGAAGAGAACCAAAGUGAAUUCGAAUUGUAUUUUGGAUUUGGAAAUAUAACCCUUCAAAGACUGAAAACAAGGAUAGAAACAAAUGGGAAUUUUGGGAUUUCUUGAGGAUUUUGUUGAUUCAUAUGGUUUUCCAGUAAAGAUCAGUCCGUCGAUGCCGACUCGAGUUCAUUGUUGAGUUUUGGUCGCGGUUCCUGCUGAAUCUCAAUUUUGUUUUCAUUUCAAGUGUGUCGCCAAGUCUUCUUCUGCUUGUAAUCAUUUCAACCAAUUUAAUCGAAAGAAUUUUCAGACAUUCUGAUGGUAAAUUUAUUAUCAAGGUCACUGAUGAAUACGAGUCAAAGUUUUGUUCGAGAUGUGGUUUGUUGUUCUGAUUCUGGUUUGUGAUUCCAAGCUGAAAUGUCUCUGAGAAUUAUGGGCAGGAAUCAUCGAGUUGUUUAACCUUCUUGUGAUUAAAAUUGGUGAAUAUAAGCCAAGGACCAUUCGAGAAGACGAGUCAAUUUCCGGCUAUAAUUAUUGCUUCAUUUCAGUUCGUAUAAAUUGCAGGUUCAUUUCUAUUUCAUUGGUUUCUCCCUUUCAAUUUUAUGGAGUUUAUAUGAAUUUUUAGUGCUGGUUUGUCAUUGCACCUUAGUCGCUGUUAGAUUUUGCGAAUGAGACUCUUACUUCUAGUGUGUUGAGUUAAUAUGAUUUUUUUAUGUUGGUUUGUCAUAGCACCUUAGUCGCUGUUAGAUUCUGCAGAUGAGACUCUCACUUCGAGUAAUUUUUUCGUUGUGUAUUUGCACUGAUCCGUGGCCUAGGAUUGCAAGUAUAUGCUAAUGCCAUCGCGUCGAAGAGUCUUUGAAUAGUUUUUAGAUGCUUGUUUCGAUGACUAAUUUAAUCUUUGGAUAUGAGAUUGCUUUUCUAAUUAUGAGUUACAUAGUAUUAGUUUGUUUUGCUGGCUGCUGGGUUUUAGCUUUAUUUUUGUUUGUUGUUACUUCUUCAAAUCUGUAAAUAUUUCUCUGUUGAACCUGCUCUACUGAGUUUUGAUUAUCUUUUCAG